UAGUUCAGUUGGUUAGAAUACCUGCCUGUCACGCAGGGGGUCGCGGGUUCGAGCCCCGU
rnacentral:tRNA from 1 species